GAAGUGGCCCCCUUUCCCUUUCGCCUCCUCCAGCGGCACAAUGUGAUCCACCGGAAAGGAGGGACGCCAAUAAGGCGUCUGAUAAGCUAUGACAGGAGGAAGUUUCUCUGGGCCUCCAUACUCUGAUGAGAAGUGUCUGUCUGUUCCUUCCAGAAGACUUGAUACAGAGAAGCCUCCAGCCACAGUUACCCAUAAUGGAAACCGAAGCAAGGAACCCAGGAACAGAAGAACCCAACGGGAUGGCAAAGAUGUUCCUUUUGAGUGGAAAACUGGAUCAACUCAAGAGGAAGGCAAUUGCCACACACAGACUUCACCAACUCUGAGCUCAUCAGGGGAGAAUCUUUCCCAGACUUCAGUCUCAAGGAGAGGCAGGCAACCCAGGAUCUCGUCCAUCCCAAGACUACAGAACUCUAGCAAACUGUACUGUUGCAUCUCAGAGUUGUGA
rnacentral:lncRNA from 1 species